rnacentral:rRNA from 1 species
UACGGGGGGGGCAAGCGUUGUUCGGAAUUACUGGGCGUAAGGGCGUCGUAGGCGGCCCCACUAAGUCCGACGUGAAAUCCCCAGGCUUAACUUGGGAACUGCGUCGGAUACUGGUGGGCUUGAAUCCGGGAGAGGGAUGCGGAAUUCCAGGUGUAGCGGUGAAAUGCGUAGAUAUCUGGAGGAACACCGGUGGCGAAGGCGGCAUCCUGGACCGGUAUUGACGCUGAGUGAGCGAAAGCCAGGGGAGCAAACGGG